UACGUAGGGGGCAAGCGUUGUCCGGAAUCAUUGGCGUAAAGAGCGUGUAGGCGGCCAGAUAAGUCCGCUGUGAAAUCUCGAGGCUCAACUUCGAGCUGUCGGUGGAAACUGUCUGGCUAGAGUCCGGAAGAGGAGAAUGGAAUUCCUGGUGUAGCGGUGAAAUGCGCAGAUAUCAGGAAGAACACCCGUGGCGAAGGCGGUUCUCUGGGACGGUACUGACGCUGAGACGCGAAAGCGUGGGGAGCGAACAGG
rnacentral:rRNA from 1 species